AUUGAACGCUGGCGGCAGGCCUAACACAUGCAAGUCGAACGAGGCGCGGGCGGGUGAGAAGUGUCUGGGAAAGUGCCCGAUAGAGGGGUAUAACUACUGUACACGGUAUCUAAUACCGCAUACUCUGUUGUGUGCCCAUAUGGGUUUAGCUAGUGGGUGGGGUAACGGCUCACCUAGGCGACUAUCCCGAGCUGGUCUGAGAGGAUGACCAGCCACACUGGGACUGAGACACGGCCCAGACUCCUACGGGAGGCAGCAGUGGGGAAUAUUGGACAAUGGGCGAAAGCCUGAUGCAGCCAUGCCGCGUGUAUGAAGAAGGCCUUCGGGUUGUAAAGUACUUUCAGCGGGGAGGCGUUACCCGCAGAAGAAGCACCGGCUAACUCCGUGCCAGCAGCCGCGGUAAUUC
rnacentral:rRNA from 1 species